rnacentral:rRNA from 1 species
AAGCGAGUUUUAACUGAGCGUUCAGUUACUGGACGUAGACCCGAAACCGGGCGACCGACCCAUGAGCAGGAUGAAGCGAAAGUAAAAUUUCGUGGAGGUCCGAACCCACGGGCGUUGAAAAGCUCGGGGAUGACUUGUGGGUAGCGGUGAAAUUCCAAUCGAGCCCGGAGAUAGCUGGUUCUCCCCGAAAUAGCUUUAGGGCUAGCCUCAAGGUGAGAGAUACGGAGGUAGAGCACUGAAUGUCCUAGGGGGUAUUGCACCUACCGAAGACUAUCAAACUCCGAAU